rnacentral:rRNA from 1 species
UACAGAGGGUGCGAGCGUUAAUCGGAAUUACUGGGCGUAAAGCGCACGUAGGCGGCUUGGUAUGUCGGGUGUGAAAUCCCCGGGCUCAACCUGGGAACUGCAUCCGAAACUGCCUUGCUCGAGUAUGGGAGAGGGAAGUGGAAUUUCCGGUGUAGCGGUGAAAUGCGUAGAUAUCGGAAGGAACAUCAGUGGCGAAGGCGGCGAUCUGGGUUGAUACUGACGCUGAGGUGCGAAAGCGUGGGGAGCAAACAGG